AAACUCAGCAGAAGUUGAAUCAGGAAGACAUCGUUCAUGCUGACUCUAUUUCUCCCCCGCCCCCUCUCUUCCUUUUUUCUGCUUCCAACUCCGUCAUUAGAUUGAGGGCGUUCAUUCUUUCAGUUAAACCAAUCAGAAUUUGCCACAACCUCUGUGAGCCAAUCAUAUCGUUGCUGUCAAACUUUCAAACUGUCUUUUCUCUCCUGGAGGACCCCGACCAGAUAAAAGACUGCAGCAUCACUCCAGCUCCAGGCCUCCCUCCCUCUCUCGCUCCAGCAGCUGGUGGAUCAAGCAGUCUUCAGUGAUCCCACUGAGCCCUUCACAUCCAUUCUGGUUCUGGCCUCUGUGGUCACAGCCCCUCCACCAGUUGACGGUGGCGUAGAGGUCGCUGGGAUCAGCUGAGGCUCCAGCAGAAGAAGAGGAAGCUUUCACGCUGCUGUAGGUCACUGUGUUGUUGUCAGGUAGUCUCUGGUUACCAGGUAAAUAAAUCACAGAGAAAUAUUUCAGCUCUAAACUUACAGGUUAUGUU